rnacentral:misc_RNA from 1 species
GGAAGGAUCAUUACUCUUAAACACACACACACACACACACACAUAAACACACACGCCAAGCAAAAAAUAAAAAAAGCUUUUUGAUCGAUUUGGUGGACCCAUUGCCAUCCUCUAUUUCGCUAGAGACAUAAGGAGAAUCAAUCUGGCCAAUUGUUAUCUAAGUGUUUCACUGAUUAGUGGAGUAGAUGGGUGGGCCCCUAUUUUGACACGCACAUAAAAUGCUAAAGUAGUGCUAAAGUGGAUGGGAUUUUAUGUAAUAUGGUGGGGUCAAGCUAUAUUGACAUCGCAUGAAUACACAUAUUAAUUAAGGGCGGAGGAGUACCUUUUUAUUAAGGUGGCUCUUCUGCCCUUUUUUUUUUAUGAAAAUUUUCUGGGUGACGAGGUGUCAUUGACUUUUGACGUGGCACUUAAAAUUAUCCUGACUAGGAAGGUGACUUCCAAAAAUGGAAAGUGACUUCCAAAAAUGGAAAGUGAUUUCCAAAAAUGGAAAGUGACUUCCAAAAAUGGAAAGUGUAAAUGGGGUCUAAUUCUAGGUAGGGCACAACUACCUGUUUUAACUACCUGUUUAACUUAAGAAAAAAAAAUUAUUACAACUUACUAGUGUGGAUGUCUCAGCUCCUCUAACGAGAACGGACGUAGCGAACUGCGAUAUGCUAUGCGAAUUGCAGGAUUCUGUGAGUCAUUGUAUCUCUGAAUGCACACUGCGCCCUUCCUUAAUGGAUAGGGCAUACUUAUUUGAGCUCCAUUUUAUAAAUAAAUGCAUUUGCCAAGCAUAAUUGUUUUCUUUAGAGAAUCUCUUUGGAGAAAAGAGACCAAUUUAUUGGUUGAUUUAAUCCUUAGUUUUUUUUGAAAGAAUUCUAUUGGGAUAUUAUGAAGGAGGGUUUUAAUUGAUUCUAUUAACUUAGGUUGAUUUUAUUAAAAAAAACCCACUCCUUUAUAUUUCCUUAAAUACUCUUAUACUCUUACUUCCUUUAAUCUCUCUUUUUUAAAGGGUUUUUUUUGGUUGUUAAAGUUAAAGAGUUUCGGGUAUAUGACCCUCAAUAUGACUUUAUGUUAUACUUGAGAUAAGUCAUUACAAUAAAAAAAGAAUAAAAGAUUCUUUCUUUGAGAUUGAAAUAGGGUCUUUCAAUUCUAUAAAAUUGAUAGGGCUUUGUUCAUUUUCUUUCUCUUUCUAAAUAUAGUUAAGGGUAUUGAAUAAUCGAACAAGUCUUUGAUUUUUUGUAGAGCUUAUAUUGUCUGACUUUUAUCUUUCUUAAAAGUGUUUCUUUUUUCUUUUACUAAUAAUGGACUCAAAUUAAGUAUGAUUACCCCUGAAUUUAAGCAUAUAAUUAAGGGGAGGAAAAGAAAUUAACUAAGAUUCCUUUAGUAACUGCGAGUGAAACGGGAAAAGCUCAUGCCGAAUCGGGGGGCUUUAUAGCUCUACUGAGUUGUGGCGUAUCAACUAUUCUUAUUCUGCUUUAACUUGUCCGAAAUUCCUUGGAACAGGAUACCACAGAGGGUGAUAGUCUCGUAGGACUUGUUAUCAAGUAGAAAUAAAAAGGGUAGAUUGUAGAGUCGAGCUAUUUGGGAGUAUAGCUCUAAUUGGGUGGUAAACUCCAUCUAAAGCUAAAUACAAAGAGGAGACUGAUAGCGAACAAGUAGCGUGAGCGAAAGAUGAAAAGGACUUUGAAAAGAGAGUCAAAAGAAUCUGAAACACUAGUAAGGUUAAGCGGUCUUUUUGGGUAUAAUACUAAGUUGAUUUAAAUCAAUGGGGAAUAUGUAACAGAUUUGUUUAGAUAAGUAUUAACUCUCUGAGUUGGUCUUUCUAUCUUAUUUUGCCAAGUAUGACUCAUGCACUUUGGAUCGACUUAAACUAACACGUCCUAUUCUUAGUGUUGGUAUUGGCUUUUCAUGGAAAAGGUAGCUCUUGGGACUUUUAGUUUCAGGAGUGUUACAGUUCUGUGUAAUUACUGUUACCGAUACUGGAUAGAGGGGGAUUAAUAGUCUCUAAAGGAACUAUUUUGGUUUUCACUAUUAGAUUUACUUUGGUUUCUUUCGCUUGGUUUUUUCAAAAUCAAGUUAGGGUUAUCAUUGUUGUCUUUUUGGUGUUUACUUACUAUAAGAUUCUUUAUGGAUGUGUGUUUAACAAUUAAAAUAUUCAAGUGACCGUCCCGUCUUGAAACACGGACCAAGGAGUCUAAUUAAUCUGCAAGUAUUAUGCCAUUUAAAGGCAAAGAUGCGAAAUGAAAGUAAUAUUUAGGGUGGGAUUCUUCUUCUUAGGGAGGAGAUGCACACUCAACCAACCUGGGUAUUCGUUAUCUGGUUUGAGUUAGAGCAGAUUGAUUAGGACCCGAAAGAUAGCGAACUAUGCCUGUAUAGGAUGAAGCCAGAAGAAAUUCUGGUGGAAGUCCGUAGCGGUAUUGACGUGCAAAUCAUUCGUCGAAUAUGGGUAUAGCGGCGAAAGACUAAUCGAGCUAUCUAGUAGCUGGUUCCUUC